UGGUGGAUUGAUUUGUCUGGUUAAUUCCGAAAACGAACGAGACCUUAACCUAUUAAAUAUGUUGUGUGAUAAGUGGUGUAAAAGCCAAUCUUUAUUAUAAUUUGAAUACUUCUUAAAGGAACUCUUUGCAAUUAAGCAAAGGGAAGAUUAAGGCGAAAACA
rnacentral:rRNA from 1 species